AACUAAGGCUGCAUCCAAAAUCGCAUACUUUCUGACCCCCUGCACAAGAGGCCACCCAGGAGCGAGCAUCCCCGUCUCUAAAGCAGCUUCUCUGGUGGCCCAGUGGAAUGCCGGGCAAACAGGAGGGAAGGGCCCCGGGACCGAGCUGGAGAAGAAAAGAAAAGUCCCAUCAUUGCUCGCCAGGGCAGCCUGGUCAAAAUUUGGAGACAAUAGGAGAUAUUCAGGCUGAGCGGAGACUGUGGCAUUCAAGGCAUCGCAUGCACAGGUGCUUUCGGAAAGGAAACAGGUCAGAGAGGGAGACACUCGCAUCAAAACAAUGUACAGAGUCUGUUUUCAUGUUACGGAUUCCAUUUAAAACUGUCAAAAGUUUGUUUUACAACACUGUAUAAAUAUUCAAUGCAACAUCAAGGUUUUAGAAUAAAAGCUUUGUGUCAGGGACAACAAACUUCACAAAAUGAUUGUUUGUCCAGUCACAUUAGCCAAAAGCGGAAUUACAGGCAUACAGCCAAUAAGGAUGGCUAUAUUCAAGUUUGGGGUUAGUGACAUUUUUAUGUGAAAUAUGUUACAUAUUCUGAUUUGCUGCUCA